UGUACUUGCAUUUCCAGGGUCAGACAUGGACAUCGAAGUGGACAUGCAUCUUCAAACUCAGGAGCACAAUCCAUUUAGAGUGAACCUUACGACAAAGUGGCACCCCAAUAAAACCGAGCAGUCUGCAAUCAUCAGAAACUUUCUCUACGAAGUCAUUGUCCUGACUGUUAACGAAACUAUCAAACUUGAACCAGUAGUUCAGACUCGUUUCACGUACCACUUGGAAGCUCUGUACCCUUU
rnacentral:sRNA from 1 species